rnacentral:lncRNA from 1 species
ACGUUUAAUUCAUCCAAAGAUGAAAUACUGAUGAUGAUUUCGUCCAAAGUGCUAAUGGUGUGAUUAACUAGUGAUAGUGCGCUAAUCUAGUUGAUCAAGAGCAUGCUGAUGAGUCAAUGAAGAUCAUGUUGUUGAUGAUGCAAGACUGAUGAGGUGAUGAUUGGUGCAGUGCGCUGACUGAGAUGGAGAUGAUCUGUUGUGACAGCGGAAGCUUUCAUGCAAACAAGGUUAAUUCAAGAACACAGAUAAAACAAUCACAUGAGAUUUUAACGUGGUUCGGCCAACUAUGCCUACGUCCACGAAUGAGAGAAAAUUAUUCCACUAUACAAUAGAAAAUAUUAUAGAUGAAAGAGCCAGAUACAACUAUUGGAUUCUUGAAACAUCUAAUGUUUUCCUACUCUUUGCAUCCAUACCCUACCAUGAGCUCCUUUAUAUCUUUAUUCACCUCAUAUAACCUCUACAAGCCUAUCUCCGUUUCAUUACUUUUUCUUUUUAUGAUCUAAAAUAUUUAUAGAGAUAUUUCUAAUAACUUUUCUUAUUUUAUAAGAAAUCUUAUAUUACAAUAAUAUAUUAACUUAAAAAUAUUUUAUAUAAUAUUUUUUAUAAAAAAAAAUCUUCAUUAAUUAGGAAUUUGACACAAUUCCCAACAUGAUUUUUUAUUGGUCUGCUGGGAAUACACACUACAAAAAAUGGAGAGUUUCCAUAUGUCGGCAUGAUGUCUCUUUGCAGAAAAAUGAAAAAUCCUAAAGAAUAAUGGUGAUCAGAUGAUGCAGAAUGGUGGAGAGCUAGUGCGCGACAUCGAAAUGAAGAAACUGAUGGUGCGUGUCAAUGAAGAUCCUUUUGUGCAUGAUGAUCAAGAAUCCUCUGGUGGUGAUCCCCAUUCUUUCGUGAAAGUAGUUCUUGAUGAUCUGAUGCGGAUAAGAACCAGAAAAUCGAGCUGCAAGUGUGACCUCCAGUCGCAAAAAAUGGAGAUAUCGGUGCAGACAUGAUAUUGAUUAUGUACCAUACUGAUGCCGGAACUUGUGUGAUGGAGAAAUCAAUGGAGUAGAGAAGCUAUUGAUGAUCAAGGGGAAUCUGAUCAUGCGCCACUUCUGGAUGGGAAACUGAUGGUGUGUUGAUGAUCCCUAAGGGCUUGAUGGUGCUGUUGUUCAAUGAAUCCAUGUGAUGCCCUUGAUGCCAUGGUGUUCUGAAGCUGCUUGAAGCGCAGAAUCUGGUGUGAUGCAUACAGAAACCAGAAAAUGUAGAGAUGCUGGUGUGAACUCCUGUCUUUCCGAAAAAUAGAAAUCAUCCCCCAGGAAAAUAAUGAUCCCAUCCUUUCUAAGAGGAUCCUUUAGCUCCCAAAAAAAAAAAAAAAAAAUGAGUGUGAGAUGUUGUGUACACCCAUGGUCAUCCUCCAAUUUCUUCUCUCCCAAAAACUCCAAUUCCCUCUUUUGGGGACCUCCAGAAAACUCUCCACAAAUGCGUGAUUCCUCUUGUUCGUUAUGCCCUCCUAACAGGAAAAAUCUAGCCUCUAGAAUCCUAUAGAAUUCCAAAAAAAAUUCCCGUGGUGUGAUGUUGUCAUGCUAGAGGUGUCGCCCCCUUACAGAAAAAUGCUUCUUCAAGAGCCUUCCAGAAGACUCUAACAGAUGCGUGAUGGUGAUGAUCCCCUCAAUAGAAAACACGGGACCCUCCUGUCAUGGCCACUGCUUGCAGAGCCUAUGAUUGUGCUCCCUAAAUGAAUCCAAGGUCUUCCUCAUCGAGAGCACAUGAUGGUUAAAAUUGGCUUUGUGAUGAUAGAACGGAAAAUAAUCCAAUCUCACCUACUGGUCUGUCGUUCCUCUGCCAUCCAGAAUGCUUCUCCUGUUUUCACUCCAAAUGCGUGCAUGAUAGUCACCCCCAUGCAUAGAAGCCACGUGAUGCUGUGAUGUGUGUCAGAAUUGGAUGUAAUACCCAGCUUUGAUGCAUGAUGAUCCCUCUCAAUAACCCCAAAAUAGAGAUCAAAGUCCCUUGACUCAUGUAUCCUCAUGUUAGAAAGAAAGAAACCAUGUGUCAAUAAUUAAACAUGCAAAUCAUUUUCUACUUAAAAUUAAAAGGUGAUUUCAUGCAAGAAAAUAGGACCACAAUCAGUGCACAUGCAAAGCAUAAAUUAAAAACUAAUCCUAUGCCACUAAAAAAAACUAAGAAAAACAAAAUUAUGUAAUAAAAGCAAACAAAGCUAAUCCCUUGUCUGAAAGAUACAAAAAAUAAAAAUUCAUGAAUUUAGGAAUCAAAAUGUUAACCAAGUGCAAUAAAAAAUCCAAAAAAAAAAGUAAAAAAUAAAAAACACCAAAACUCACCUAUUCCUAGAACUAAGCAAUAAGAAAUAGGAAUAAAUCUAAGUGCACUAAAAAAAAAAAAAAACAAUCAUAAUCAAGCAAAAUCCUAAACUAAAUAACAGAGGCCAUUAAGUAAUCACGCUAAAGGAUAUCUAAAACCCUUUAAGAUAUAUAUCUCCAAAAGGAGUCCAAAAAUAGUGAUGAUGAGUAAUAGUGGACUACCCAUGGAGACUCAAAAACAACUUAGAAAUGAACCUUAAGUGUGCAAUGAGCUAACAAGGGGAUGAAUGAGGAUAGACUUUAAAUGACAUGUGCUAAGAGGACAAAAUAGAGGGGUCUACAAAUAUGCAUUUCUUCGAUAGAGAUCAUGAGUGUGAUGAAUAGAUCGCAGAUGUGUGAGAGAUGAAUGGAGCAAAGUGAACUAUAUCAAAGAAUAGAAGAGGUCCCAAAAUUUUGUUUUGGCACAUGACACGAUAAACUCAAGGACAAAUCACACAAAUGAAAAGAGGUACUUUGGAUAAGGAAAUACAGUAAACACUAAAACUAGGAAAGAAUGACUCCGAAAGCCAAAUCGAAAAGAUAGUUCUAAACACUAAAACUAAGAAAAUACAUGACUCUGAAUGCUAAACCAAAAAGAUAGCUUUGAACACUACACUAGAAGACGCAUAGAUGGAAAUCUACAAUGGUGAUACUCUUAAGUGCCCAUAAAUGACAAUCUAUGGGGGUGAUAAUUUGAAGUAAAUGCCCAUAGAUGAAAAUCUAUGAUGGUGAUAAUCUCAAAUGCCCAUAGAUAAAAAAUUCAUGGUGGUGAUAUGAAUCAAAGGCCCACAGAUGAAAAUCUAUAGUGGUGAUAACUCUCAAAUGCCCAUAUAUGAAAAUCUAUGGUGGUGAUAAUUGAAAUCAAAUGCCCAUAGAUGAAAAUAUAUGAUGGUGAUAACUCUCAAAUGCCUAUAGAUAAAAAAUCCAUGGUGGUGAUAAUUUAAAUCAAAGGCCCAUAGAUGCCAAAUAUAUGGUGGUGAUAAUUUGAAUCAAAUGCCCAUAGAUAACAAGUCUAUCGUGGGGAAUAUCUCAAUCAAAUAUCCAUAGAUGUCAAAUCUAUGAUGGUGAUAAUUUGAAUCAAAGGCCCAUAGAUGCCAAAUCUAUGGUGGUGAUAAUUUGAAUCAAAUGGCCAUAGAUAACAAGUCUAUCGUGGGGAAUAUCUCAAUCAAAUAUCCAUAGAUGUCAAAUCUAUGAUGGUGAUAAUCUGAAUCAAAUGCCCAUAAAUAAGAAAUCUAUGGUGGUGAUAAUGAAUCAAAUGCCCGUAGAUAACAAGUCUAUGGUGGUGAAUAUCUCAAUCAAAUGCUCAUAGAUAUCAAAUCUAUGGUGGUGAUAAUAUGAAUCUGCCCAUAGAUGUCAAAUCUGUAAUGGUGAUAAUUUGAAUCAAAUACCCAUAGAUAACAAAUUUAUCAUGUUGAAAACUCUCAAAGGCCCAUAGAUUUCCCAUCUAUGGUGGUGAAACUCUCAUAAAAGGCCUAUAAAUAUACAUCUAUGGCUGUGAGUUAACCAAAAUGUCCAUAAUUGUCUAAAAAUGAUGAAUAGCUUAAGGUUGUGAUGCAAUGAACAACUCAAGGAUGUGAGAUAUGAAUGCCCAAAAGUUGGUAGAAAGGGAUAAUGUGAUAUGCAAACUCUAAGUCAAAUCACUCAAGAAUGACCAAAAUGAUGAAAGGCUCAAAUCCUUAAUGGAAUGAACAACUCAAGGUUGUGAUGUAAUGAACAGUUCAGGGCUAUGAUGCAAUGAACAACUUAGGGCUAUGAUUCAACGAACAACUCAAGGUUGUGAUGAAAUGAACAAUGCCAGUUAUAGGGUGAGCCUAAGAGAGAUUACGGUCUACAACUCCAAGUUAAACCACUAAAGGGUGACUAAGAUAAAAAGGAGGAUCCAAUUGAACUCGAAAGAAGAGGAUAUGCCUUAGAUGAAACUCUAAGAAAGGAAUGUCAUAAAAGAAAUUGAAAUGAUAACAAACUUAAGACUAAGAUGCAAUGAAUAACUCUAGGCUAUUGGCUCUAAUGCCUAAGGGAGAACGAGAUCCAUAACUCCCACUCAAACCACUAAAGGGUGACUAAGAUAAGGGUGAUCAACACACUGAAAAAGAGGAUCUAACCGAACUCGAAGGAAGAGGGUAUGCCCUAAUAAUACUUAAAGGAAAAAGAAUGCGUUAAACCAUUUCAAUGAGGGAAGAAUGCCUAAACAAACAAGAAAGGGUGAUGUCUUAAACAAACUUAAUGAAUAAGUAUCCUAAACAAAUUUGAUAAAUGAGGAUGUCCUAAAUAGACUCGAUGAAGAGGGAUGUCCUAAAUGUACUCUCAAUGAAAGGGAGACCCUAAACAAACUCUCAAUGAAAAUGGAGGCUUUGAACAAACUCGAUGAAGGAGGAUGCCCUAAACAGACUCUCAAUAUGAAGAAAGGUGCUCUAAAUAGACUCAAUGAAGGAAGAAUGCUAUAAACAAACCUAAGAAAGAGGGGUGUCCUAACAAACUCAAAGAAGAAAGUCUUCUAAACAAAAUCAAUGAAGGAGAAUGCCCUGAAUAAACUUAAUAUGAAGAAGGAUGUCCUAAACAAACUCUUGAUGAAGGGGGAUGCCCUAAACAAAUUUGAUGAGAGUGGGGUGCCCUAAAAGAACUCUUAAUGAAAGGGGAUGCCCUAAAAAGACUCGAUGAAAGAGGAGUGACCUAACAAAUCCUCAUCUUAUAAGUAAAUAAUGGACUUGAAAAAUGGUAAAAUACCCAAAAGAAAAAAAAAUUAAAGCAAUCAAGGUCUUAAAAACCUCUAUAUAGUAAAACAAAUCAAAGAUUAAGCAAUGUUGCACAGAAUCAAUAUGAAUCAAAGGAAAAAAAGAAGAAGAACAACCAUAGAUCAUGAAUAAAUAACAAAAAAUAAAGUGUGUGGCCUCUAAUAUCCACACCUAACAUACAAAUUAACCUAAAAAUAAAAGAAAAAUGUAAAUAAAUAUAGAAAAAGAUGAAUAAAACAAAAUCAAAGGGGCUUACUUAAAUAUUUGGGGGAACCUAAGGUGCCACUAAAGUCAUGCAAUAGAUCUAGAAACUCCCUCUAAAAGGUCUCCAAAAGUGGUGUAAGAGUGAGUGCUAAAACUGAGUGUCAGAUGAACCACCAAGGAGCAUAAUGAACAACUAAGCACAAGAGCAUCCUACAUGCGUACUACAAGAAGGGACAAGGUGGAGGAAACAAGUAUGAUUAAUAAUAUGUGCUAUGAGGAUAAAAUGGAAGGUCUACAUAGUGUUUCCAACACACCUUUUUGGGGUUAAAGUUAAUUUUUAUGCUUUUAUUACUCUUAGGAUCUUAUUAGCAUGCUCUUUAGCCUUAGGCAUCAGAUCAAACAAGUGGAAUUAGAUUGAAUCUAAUGUUUUUCCUUGUGUUAGAUCUUAUUUAAGGUAUGCAAACUAGUUGUUGUAUGACAAAUAAUUCAUCAUUUGGCUAUAGUGACAUAUAAAUGAUUUUUUAAUUUUAUUUUUUAUUCUCAAUCUGUGAUAUCUUUGUAACUCUUUAGAUUGGGUGUAAAUCCUAUUGGGAUAGAGCCCUUAAAAGCAAUACAUGAUGUAACAAAGUUAGACUUAACUUUCCCCUUAUUAUCAUUUUUUUGUAUUAACCUUGAUUUGAGCAUUCAAGCCUACAUGAUCACUAGCAUUGUACAUGACUUCAGUGCAUUGGGAGUUGCACAAAAGAUUUAAGUCAUGUGUAUUGCAAGAUUGAUGAGUUGUUCAAAGCCGAUUCAACCUUGAGAAGAAUGAAAUGAUUUGGGAUUCCCUACAUAUACUGCAUGGAUUCUCAAUAUUGAGAGGAUAUUAAGCAUGUAUUGAAGUCAUAAGGUGGCUUUGACCUUUUGGUGAGAUCUUAAGGUGGUCAUAUAUUCCCUAAGGAUUGGGUCAUUGUUGAUGAAGGUUGGUGGCAACUUUUGCCAUCUUAGAUUUAAGCAACGGAAGCAAUACCAAUUUUUCAAAAAAUUGAUCUUUAGGGUUAAAAUGCUAAUCUUUGGGUUUGAAUCUUCCCAAACCUUAAAUCUAAGUGUUGAAGAAUCAAAUUGAUGUUGUCAAAAAUCUCAUAAACCUAUUAUUAUUUGCUUAAUAACUCAACGUUGAUCUUGACACACUUUCAAUGAAGGGGAAAGAGAGGGUGCAGACUAUGACUCCCUUUCUUUCUGGAUAGUGGAAGACCAAAAGGGAUGGAAACCCUAACUCCUAGGGGAUAUUUAUAGGGUUCCUAACAGGGCUUAAGUGACUUGAGCCUACAUGGGCUUAGGUCACUUAAUUUAGCCCAAAUUGGGUCAUAAUUGAUUAAUUAACCCAAUAAAGUGUAUUAAUCAAUCAAUUAGUCUAAUCUAGAGACCUUGUUCACUUACCCCCUAUGCAACCUUAUAUAAUUACCAAAAUGCCUUUAUGCACAAAAGUGAACUUAGAGCCAAUAUGACCCUCAUAACCUGUGCUAACAAGGAAUAUGAGCUCAGAGCGGGGACCAUUGAGACCCAUAGGAGUAUUGAUUCCCUCAAAAUCCAAUUUUAAAGUUGAUUCAACAUCGUACACCCUCCAUUUUGCCUUUAGCACAUGUUAUUCAUCAUAUUUGGACCCCUUCACUUUACAUUUUCAUGUAGUACGUAUGUAAGAUCCAUUUUUUAUUGUUCAUUUCACCUUGUAAUAGUCCACUUGUUAAUUAGUUUGUCAUUGACUCUUAGACCAAUUUUGGAGACCUUUUGGAGGGAGUUUUUGAAUUUGUAAUGUGAUUUUAGUAGCACCCUAGGUUCUCCCAAAGUUUUAACACGUUUAUAACUCAAUUAGACUCUUUUUGGUGACUUAGCAAGGUUAAACUGGACAUAGGGAAUUGGUUCAACCGGUCAAACCAACGGUUUCAACUAUUUUAAUUGGUUGGACCAAUCAGUUGAGCUAGUUUCAAUCGGUUAAGCCAGUUUCAAUUGGUUGAACUGGUUUUCUUGACUAGUUUGUCGUGUUUUGGUUGUUUCUUCCUUGUUUUAACUCUAAAUUGAGCUUUUUUUUUUUGUUGGUUUCCUUACAUUUCUAGGAGUGUUUUUGGUGACCUUUAACCUUAAUUUAGAGGCCCUUUGACUUUAGUUCUUGUUUAAGUGGGUUUUUGGUUGUUUUGGGUGUAUGGUGAGAUAAAGACAAAUGUUCAAGUCUUGGCCCAUCUUUGCCCUAUAAUAUAUCAUAUUUCAUUCAUUUGAUCACUUAAUUUUGGCACACUCACUUGUCUCUAGUUCCUUUUAGUGGUUUUUUUAUUUCCAUAUGUUUUAAUGAUUUUGAAAAUAUUUUCAAUUGUUUCUAAAAUAAAAUGAAUCCUCAAAGUCCAUAUUUAAAUUUAUCUUAGAGCAAUUAGGUAAAGAGAAGUCUAUUUUAAAAAACAAUGCAACCUAUUUAAUUUAUUAUGCAUCUUUUAUUGCCAUUAUUCAUAGCUCCAAUCAAUUGAGUCAUUCCUAGCCUUGGUGAGCUUAUUCAUGAUCAUUUGAGGUUAAUGAAUUAUGGAUGAAUUCAUAGAAAUUUAAAAGGAAUUUAAUGAAUCCCUACAUACAAAGUUUUCUAAAAAUUGAUUUUCUAUUGCCACUAUUGAUAAUCCAUUGCAACUUUGAACUUGCAAAUUGGAAUCCAAUCACCUAGAAGCCCCUCAAAUUAUUUCAAUGCUUGGAUAUUGCUCUAGACUCCUUAAAUGUAUGAAAUAUAUAUAUAUAUAUAUAUAUAUUUGAAUUUAAAACACUUCUCCAAUCAAUAGAUUGAAUUUAGUCUUCCAAUAGGUACAAUUUACACUAUUUUGGACACUUGAAAUGUCUUUACAAAAUUAAAUUAUUAAAUGAUCUCUUUAAUUUCUUUGAACACUUUUAUCUUAAUCUAGACUUCUUAAAUUUGAUUUUAGACACAUAAAAUAAGAAAUGAUUCAUGAAAUGAAAGAUAUGAUUUUCCUUUUCAACUCCUCCUACAUAGGCCAUUUUCUAGAUCCGAGAAAUGUUAAUUUAAUUUUAAAUUUGUUAUGUGUUUGAUUAUGACUUAUAUUUAUUUUUCCUAAAACAGACAUAUUAAAUGAAUUCUGUGAAUUUUAGUAGGAUUUUAGGGCAUACCGAAUUUAAUUAAAAAAAUUAAUUCUUGCAUGCCUUGAAAAAAUGCCCUAUUUUAGACUAAUCAUGAUUUUUGUGAAAUCAUGUACUAAAUGGGACUUAGUUAAUUAAUUUAGCAUUUUGGGUUGUAAUAUGUUGGGAUUAAGCCCCUAAAACUAAGAUAUGAUGUAACAGAGUUAGACUUAAAUAUCCCCUUGCUAUUCUUUUGGUGUAUUGACAUUGAUUUGAGCAUUCAGUCUAUAUCUCUUAUAUUGUACAUGACUUAGGUGCAUUAGGAGUUGUACAAAAGAUACAAGUCAUGGGUUCCUUGUAAGUAAAUAAGUUGUCCACAAUUAGUUCAUGGAUUUGGGUAAUCCAGUAGAGAUUGUAGUGCACUACCUCCUAAUUGGAGGGAAGACUUGUCUUGGCCAUUGGGAUGGUCAUGGUCAAUCAACUAGUGUAUGUGAUGCACAUUAGAUAGAGCCUACGAUGAAUCAUGACACAAGGCUAUUAAUUGUCAUGAUUCACCAAACUACUUUACUACAUGGACUCUCAACCUUGAGAGGAUAUUUAACAUGUGUCAAAAUCAACAGGAGGCUUUAACCUAUGGAUAAGACCCUAAAGUGGUCACAUAUCCCUAUGGAUUGGGUCACUGUUGAUGGAAGUUGAUCACAAUAGGUAUUCUCAAUAUAGGCACCAUGAAAUCUCAUGGGAUUAAGAUAGUGUGUCCCUUUGAGUGAUCCAAAGGACAUGUGAUCAUGAAAUCUAUGGCCACAGUAAUUCCUUUAGUGGAAUUUAGCAUAUACUUCUCAGAGCUAGAGUAUAUCAUAAUGAGUGGGAUCUGUAACUCAAGGAUUUGAGAGGUAAUCUUAAUAGGUGAUAGUACUACCUUGUUAUAUUAUGGACACUAGUUCAUGGGGAGUUUGCAUGUAGUGGAUAGUAGGUCAUGAACUUGAGCACUUGGUGUUUUGUUGUAAUAUACAUAGAGUAUUGGAGUGUAGUUGAUUCUUUGUAAUGGGAUGUUGAGUUCAUUUUAGAAUUUGAUUUUAAGGGAGCUAGUACUCCUAUGGGUCCUAGUGGUCCCUGCUUGGAGAUCAUAUUUCUUGAUUGCACGAUUUAUGAGGGUUGGAUGAGUUUUUAGUUCACUUUUAUGCAUAAGGACAUUUUGGUAAUCAUGCAAGGUUGCAUAGGGAUAAAUGAGUAGUAUGUUUGGACUGAGCUAAUUUAUUAAUUAAGGCUUUGUAUGGUUAAUUAAUUAAUUAAUUAGUAACCUUUUUUGGUUAGAUUAAGUGACUCAAGCCUAUGGUAGGCUUAAAUCACUUAAGCUUAAUAGGAAACCUAUAAAUACCCCUUUAGGGGUUAGGGUUUCUUAAGUCUUGUCAUUCUCUCUGUCAGUCCAGAGAGAAACCCCUAGCCUCCACCAUUUCAAUGCCUAGACACAAGGAAGAGUCAUCAAGCGGAACAUCUUAGGUGUAUGAGAAGCACAUUCGAAUCACAUAGGUCGCAUGCAUAAGAACCGCAAUAGAUAAUCACAAGCAAAGUACACGAGAAUCGUACGGGACACGCACGUGGGUAGCAACAUGAGAAGAGAUUUUUCAGUUUUUCUAGGCAUGUCUUCAUCGUAGGGAAUUGAUCUGGGAACAUCCAAAUCUAGGUAUGAGCACUUUUUCUCUUGAUAUUUAUUCUAUAACGGUUUUUGAAGCCUAUAUUUUCUACUUCUUGUGUUUAGGCACUGAGAUGGGAGGCGAGGAUUUUCUUUUUGGACUAAAAGGGAAAAUGACAAGACUUAAGAGUCAUCGGGCGGAACAUCUUAGGUAUACGAGAAGCACACUGGAAUCACAGAGGUUGCACGCAUGAGAACCGCAUGGGAGACACACAAGCCACGUGCACGGGAGUCACACGAGACACACAUGUGGGUAGCAGCAAAAUGAGAGAUUUUUCAGUUUUUCUAGGCAUCUUCUUCCCUGCAAAGAAUUGAUCUAGGAACAUCCAAAUCUAGGUAUGAGAACUUUUUCGCUUGAUCUUUAUUCUAUAAUGGUUUUUAAAGCCUUUAUUUUCUGCUACAUUAGAUUUAGAGAGUCCUAAGGAUAAAUGCAUACAUCCUAUGAGAUCUAGGGCAUGAGAACAGAGUAAUCCAGGGUUUCCAACAAUUAGUAUCAGAUUCAAGUUAGGUUCUAGUAUUUUGCAAUGUUGUUUUAUUCAUUCCAUGAUCCGAAAAGAUGAAUGAAUGUCUUUAUAGUGGUUAUAACUUUCUUUCUGAUUAUUAUAAUUAAUUUUGGGUUAUUAUUAUUUUUGGAUUUUUUGUGAUCUUUGAUUAUUGUUCUUUAAAUUGGGUUGUACGACCCAUAAGGAGUAUAAGAUUUUUAUUUAGUUGUAAAAAUAUUUUCUUUUCAAUACAUAGGUUGUAAGCUCCUUUAUAGGAGCAUACGAAAUUUUAUUAUUGUAAAAAUUUCAGUUUUUUUGUAUCCAUUUAUGGUGACCCAAGAUAAAAGAAAGAAUCUUGAAGGUUCUUUUUUAGAUUCUAUGGUAGUUAAAAAAGAAAGAAGGAUUCUUGAAAGUUCUUGUUUUGAGAUCCAUGGUUGCAUAGUGAUGUCAAAUUAAACUCAAAAUUGGGACUACCUCCUAGAAGUUUCUUGGGGUAAGCCACAUAUGGAUUUGAAGCUUAGGAAGUCAUUAAUCUAAUGGUUUAAGCGCAUUAUAAUUCGGAGUUGAAAUGAGGAAGAUAUGGUUGAUUGAAGCAAGGUUGCGUAAAAUGCAUGACAGCACAAUGACGUAAACUUUGAGUCAAAAUCAAGACCACUUACACUGAGUUUCUCAUAUCACGUCACCUGUGGUUUUGAAGCUUAUAAAGUCAAAAAUCCAAUUCUUCAAACAGAUCACAAUUCGGAGUUGAAAUGAGGGAGAUAUGACCAAUUAAUGUAAUAUUGUGCAAAGAGCAUGUUGUUACGGGAUUGCAUACGGGUCCAAUUCAUUUUGAUUGUUUGGGUUGAAUUUUAGGCCUCUCCUUAUGGGCUUAUUUUGGUGGCAAUUGAGACUUUUGGGUUUUCAAUUUUGACUAACCUUAUCUUUGGUUGUAGGGCUAUUUUUGAUAAUUUGGAUUUUAUCCAAAUUUUAAUUACCAAAUAUGCAAUAGGAUCCCUAAAGGCCAUGGAAAAAUUUUCUAUUUAAUUAUUCCCUUGUAUUUAUUAUAUGCUCUUGAUAAAUUGCAUGUCUCAAGACAUUUUGGUAUUCUUAAUUGGAAAUAAAUUUUCAUGUUUUUUCAAAAUUGGAAAACUUAUUUAAAUUGGAAUGUACAUGGUUAGGAAAUUUCAUUUUAAAGAAAAGAUAAGUAGAAAAAAUGAUUAAGAGCUUUUGUAUCUUUUUAAAAUUAAUUCUUAAAGAUUUUAAUUUUAUUUAAAAUCUUCUCAAAUCUUUGAGAUCUUUAAGAAUAAAUUCUUUCUUUUAAGGAAAAGAUCUUAUUUUUCCAAUCUUUAUAGAAUAAUAUCUUUCCUAUUUGGCACAGGAUUUCCGAUUUAAAGAAAAUAAAUUAAUUUUGGAAAUCCAUGAUAGAUAAUUUAUAAUUAAGAAUGAUUACUAAAAUAAGUAUUAAAACCUAAAUAAAAGUUUUUUGGUAUUCUUAGUAAAUGUUCAUGAGAAAAUAUUUUUUAAGAUUAUUUAUUUAAACUGAUUAUUACUAAGAAUAUUAUUAUUUCUUUAUAAUUAUAUGUUUAUUAAACUUUAGGAGGUUUUCCUAUUCUUUCUCAAUGAGAGAAUAAAAACUAUACCUAUAGUUGGUCCUCGAGGCUCUCCCCCUUGAGAGAAGAAGGAAACCAUUUUAUUUGGAUAAUUUAAUGAUAAGAAAUAAAAGAGCAAUUCUUUUAGCAUAGGAGUCCUAGUUUAAAAGUAAAUAAUGGAUUUGGAAAAUCUCAUGAUAGAGAAUUUAUGAUAAAAAGGGUUACCAAAAUAAAUUUGGAAAGUUUUAGUAAUUUAAUAGAGAUAUAAUAUAUUUUGAAAUUACUUUCCAAAAUGGAUUGUUUAAUUCCUUUUUGGAAAUAAAUAUUUUUGGGAGUUUUUCAUAGAGAAUAUUUUAUCUAUUAAGGAAUUACUAAAAAGUUAUAUUUUUUGUAGUAUUUAAUGGAAUAAAUUAUUAUGAAAUUUCCAUGAAAAUAUUUAUGAAAUUGGAAAAGUGUAAGGAAUAAGAAAAGUAAAUCUUAUGAGGACUUUUUGAUAUAAGAAGCAAAAGUUCCUUUCUUGGAUAAGGUGUUCUCAAGAUUAUUCAAAAUCUCAUAAAUUGGUAAUUUACUUAUACACGAGUUUCUAAUUUGGAAAAUAAACAUUUUAAAAUUUUUCAUUAGAGAUAAUUUAUCAUUAAAAGAUUAUUGCCAAAAGGUUUAGUAAUUUGAUUGAAAUAAAUUUAUUUGAAACAUUUCCUAGAUAAACUAUUUAUUAAUUGGAAUUAUGUAUAGAAUAAAAAUUUUAUGAAAAUAGAUUUUAAAAUUUUGAGAGUGAACAUUUUAUCAAAAUUCUUUUUGAAAAUUACUCAUGGAAAUUUUAAAAUUUUCAUGUUGGUAUUCUCCUAUUAUACUAGGUUUCCAAUUAGGAAAUAAAUAUUUUUAAAAAUUCUCAAAGUAGCUAAUUUGUUAAUCAGGGAAAUUACUAAUGGUUUUAAAAUGCUCUUAUAUAUCUCAAAAGAUUAAGUGGGAGAUGACCUUAGGCAAGCACACGACCUCCGUUGUUAAGCCUAUCUUGAUUUGGGUUCAUCACCACACCCACGGUGGGUUAGCCGUAAGAAUUAAGAGAUAUGGACUCUCCACAUGGACCAGACUAGAUAUGUCUAUAGUGUGAGCAAUUACCCACACGGUGGGGUUCUUUAUUUGGUAACAUUGAUAGUUCAAUGACAAUGGUUGUACAUGUGACAUUGGAUAUGAAGUGGUAGAAUCGCCUCACGUAGUCCCACUUACAUAGUCCACAGGCCAAAUAAAGGGUAUGUUGAUCUUGCUUUUAGAUACCUUUAUGGUUAAGGCAGGGAAAUCAAUCUAAGAGGGUCUCUAACUAGUAGUAAGGUCAUGACCUACCCCACGUAGGCUUAAUUCUUAUGAUACUAGGAUACCUUGCAAAAAGA